GGAGUUUACAAGAGAGGCCGAUGAACGCUGUAUUGUCAUUAAACGCUUUGAGCCUACAGUGGGACAACAUUACAAAGCAGACGCAGUGCCGUAAUUACAGUUGUUUUGAUUUCACAGCCGUUUUUUUUUUUUUUUUUUGGGAAGAAGUAAGUUUAUUCAGCUGUUGUUGCUCUAAAACUAUUGGCUUAAACGUUUACUUAUGUGUUUCCGUUGAAGUUUAAGCUCAAAAUGAAGAUGCUGAAGUUGGAGCUGGACGACCCCAUCAGCCGCUUUCGAUUGGCGCAGUCGUGUGUGGGGUUGGCGGGCUGCCUGUGCGUCUCCUACGCCAUUUGGACUCCAUUCUGGCUGGACAACCGGGGACUAUGGACAGCGCAGGGGAAUAACACCAAAACUGACCUGAUUAAAAGCAGAGAUGGCACCGUGUUCAAUGCUUUAGAGGUGGAGCGGGUCUUUGCGGUGCUUUCCUUCCUGAUGGCUGUGAGCACUGGGGGCCUGUGCUUGGUGUUCGCCCUCUGCUGGACAUCAGAGACAGUGCGCUCUUACUCCAACACUCGCUCUCUGCUGAUGGCGGGUCAGGCUCUGUACCCGACCACACUGCUGCUGCUCACCAUGAUCUGCACAGGUUUCUUCUUCCUCUUCAGCUGGUCGUUGUUCACCUUCCACCAUCGAGCGGAGAUCCGUGAGAACCUCUCGACCCUGGGCUCUUCGUACUGGAUCGGGGCUCUGGGCUGGUUCCUUCUCAUGGUUGUGGAGACUAUCGUGUUUCUGGCUGAACAGAUAGUCGUACCGGACAUAAUUCCUGAUUUGGAGAAGUCGGUGGAGGAGUGGCGUUGUGCGUCCCAGUUCAGGUCAAACCAGCGCUCUUUCAGUGAUGGUUAUUUCCCUCGCGCCAAGAGCAGCCUCAUCCCAAAGAGAUACAUGUCAGAUCCGUGAAUGAACGCAAGGAAACAGACUGUGUGCUGAAGAAAUGUGAAGACGUCUCCUCCGUAGGAAAGCAGGUCUUUCUUAUCGCUGUGAGGAGCAGACUGAAGAGCGGUGAAAUGGUUUAUGGCUCUGGACGCAGGCGCUGGAAGUGACUGACAGCUGGUCCGAGGCCUCCUACACGGAAAAACUGUCCCUCCUCUCUCAUUUUGGACUUAAAAUGUUCAAAUUUAACAUGAUCCUGGUGUUUUUAUUUCACUAUUUUCUGAGUGAUUCAAGAUAUGAACAUUAAUAACAGACAAAUCCGGUGCCUUCUUUCCCUGAAGUUGCUCCCGCUAGCGUUAGCAACAGGUUUGAUUGACAGCGUUGCUAAGUGCCUGCUCCCUGUUAAACCAGCGGUGCAG
ensembl:lncRNA